GUGAGAAUCACAGUGCAGCUCUCCUUCUGGCAUGGAGGCUGAGAGGCAUGAACAAUAGGCAUUCUAUGUAAUUUCCUGCCUUUCUGUGCCAAAGGAGAGCUGCCCUGCCAUUCAUUA
rnacentral:pre_miRNA from 1 species